AAAAAAAUUAUAAUAUAAUAUGCAGUUUUAAAUGAAACAAAAAUUUUAGGUGUCAAGCUUGGAAAAAUGCCCUAGGAUUUAAAGAUUCUCAUAGAUACGCGGAUAAUACUCCAACGCAAUGUUAUAACCGUAUUAGAAUUUGUAGUUUGCAUUUUAAUGAUGACAGUUUUACAAAUUCCUCGAAAACCCGAAUUCAUUCGUAUGCUAUCCCAUCGAUUGGAGUACCUACCCAAAAGGAUGAUGCACAUUUUCCUAAAGCCAAUGUUGAUGCCAUUGUUCAGACAGAACCCUUUAAAGUAAAUGAGCCAAAGCAGCCUUUACUAAAAGUUGCAGGAACCCAAACGGCAGUAAAACUUUUAGCAGAUCCGCCAAGAAAAAUUUUACUUAAGGAGACAGUAAAAACACUAGAAAAAAACUAUAUUACUACCCACACUUGCAAAAAAAGCCUUGAAACAGAAAUUAACAUGGAUGACGUUCUGAAAUUUUUGGAAUCAAAUUUUUCUGAAGAUACAUGCAAUCUGUUAAAAACUCAAUUGUUAUUGCUGAAUAAGGACUAAAAAGAACGCAGGUAUACCAAUGAAUUUAAACAGUUUGCUCUAAGUGUGUUUCUUCUGAGUACAAAAGCUUACAAAAAAUGUCCACCGUUUAUCCUCUACCAUCAAGAUCUACAUUAAACCGUUUUACGCAAAAAUGGGUAAUAAAUCCAGGUUUUAACGAGUUUGUUUUUAAAGUAGUUCAAUGUAGAGUAAAAAUACAUCUGCACCUGUUAAUCAUUUAAAAGAUAUUUUAUUUGAAACUGUCCGAAAGAUACGCAAAACCGGUUUAAAUAUUUUUGGGGUUGUAUCAGAUUAGGGUACUAAUUUUCAAAAACUAGCUAAAAGUUCUUAAAAGGUUUUUGCGUUAGGAUAUUUAGAUAUUGUCGAAACAGCUAAUAGUAUAGAUGAUGGCGCUAAAGCCCUAUUAAAUUUAAAUCCCGAUUUUAUUAAGGGUUGCAAUAAUAUAUGCAAUUAUUCCUCCCUAAAUAUAUUCCUCUUCAAGUUUUUACCAACGAUUAUGUACAUUUAAAAAGCGCAGAAGGAAAUGCAAGAGUCAAAUGCCCUGUUUAAUAAAGAGUUAUUUGAUUGUAAAUUAAAAGCAUAUAAAAAUAAUACCUUAUUUGGUGGUCUAAUCAUUCCUCCAAAAGACAUUAUUGAGUACAUAAUAAAAUUAGUAAGUAUUUUUAUCGCUGAAUUUAAUAAAUUAUCAGCGCAAGAAGCAAUUGGCUAUAAUCUUCAAAAAACUAUUGUCUAACACUACCUUUAAGCAUCCCUGUAAUGAAUUUCCCAUUGACUAUUUUUUAAGUUUAUACAUGAGGGUGCGUAUUUAUUAUACAUUAAAAUUUAAAAUGCCGAUAGUAAAAAAAAAAUCU